GUUUUAUUUCCAGACAAAACUGAAGACCAGGAACUGGAACCUGGGAACCUGGAAGAUGAUGUUGUCCUGAAGGACACAAUUCAGGCAGCAGCAUGGUGCCAGUUACAGUCUUUCAAGGACAGCGUUUCUCUCCCAGAGGUCAUUGGGAUGGAAGGUUGGGAGCAGAUGGCAGCAUCAACACAGCGCAAAUCCCAUGACGGCGGGGAUGAGGAAGAAACGUGGAAACCAUUCCAAUUCUCAUUCAGAUUACAUACUGACUAUGAACUGUUCUGUGUGGAGAUGAUGGACAGGAGAAACCUGAAGGUGUUUGCCUCUUUUGAGUCAAACACCUCUCCCCGUACCCCCUCCCCGUCCCCCUCCCCGUGACGCCUGCGCCACACGACUCCAAUGUAGUCUGAUGAUGCAGCAUAAUGGCGGCGCUUGGCAGCGGUGACGGCGAUGUCGGGCGACAGAGCGUGAAGCGAGAGUGGCGUCCACCUCACUGAGGAAGGCGUCAGUGUGUUCCCCCCCCCCCCCCGUUGAGACUUUGUUUGUUCUACUCUUUAUUGAUUUAUCUUUUAUGUUAAUAGUUUACAAUCUAUUUUUUGUAGUUGUUAUUUUUUAAUUGUUUUGUUGAAUAAAAAGACUGUUGUUAGUG